rnacentral:tRNA from 1 species
AAGGCUUUAGCUUAAUUUUAAAGUGCCUGUGUUGCAUUCAGGAGAUGUUGGGUAUAUUCUUGCAAGUCUUA